GACGAACGCUGGCGGCGUGCUUAACACAUGCAAGUCGAGCGGUAAGGCCCUUUCGGGGGUACACGAGCGGCGAACGGGUGAGUAACACGUGGGUGACCUGCCCUCAGCUCUGGGAUAAGCCUGGGAAACCGGGUCUAAUACUGGAUAUGACUCCAUGACGCAUGUUGUGGGGUGGAAAGCCUUGUGCGGCUGAGGAUGGGCCUGCGGCCUAUCAGCUUGUUGGUGGGGUGAUGGCCUACCAAGGCGACGACGGGUAGCCGGCCUGAGAGGGCGACCGGCCACACUGGGACUGAGACACGGCCCAGACUCCUACGGGAGGCAGCAGUGGGGAAUCUUGCGCAAUGGGCGAAAGCCUGACGCAGCGACGCCGCGUGAGGGAUGACGG
rnacentral:rRNA from 1 species